rnacentral:rRNA from 1 species
CCAAUAGCGUAUAUUAAAGUUGUUGCAGUUAAAAAGCUCGUAGUUGAAUUUCGGGAUCAGUACGCUGGUCGUGCCUUCGGUAUGCACUGGUUUCACUGAUUCCUCCCUUCUGAAGAACCGUAAUGCCAUUCAGUUGGUGUGGCGGGGAAUCAGGAUUGUUACUUUCAAAAAAUUAGAGUGUUUAAAGCAGGCUCGCGCUUGAAUACAUUAGCAUGGAAUAAUGACAUAGGACGUUUGAUCCUAUUUUGUUUGUUUCUAGGAUUGACGUAAUGAUUAAUAGG